GUACCGGACACGGGGUGCCCCACCGGGGGCUGAGAUCACACCCGUCGAACCUGAACCAGUUCGUACUGGCGGAGGGAUGUCUUCCAUGCCAUUG
rnacentral:ncRNA from 2 species